rnacentral:rRNA from 1 species
UACGAAGGGGGCUAGCGUUGUUCGGAUUUACUGGGCGUAAAGCGCACGUAGGCGGAUCGUUAAGUCGGGGGUGAAAUCCUGGAGCUCAACUCCAGAACUGCCUUCGAUACUGGCGAUCUUGAGUCCGGAAGAGGUGAGUGGAACUCCUAGUGUAGAGGUGGAAUUCGUAGAUAUUAGGAAGAACACCAGUGGCGAAGGCGGCUCACUGGUCCGGUACUGACGCUGAGGUGUGAAAGCGUGGGGGAGCAAACAGG